AGUGAACGCUGGCGGUAGGCCUAACACAUGCAAGUCGAACGGCAGCACAGUAAGAGCUUGCUCUUACGGGUGGCGAGUGGCGGACGGGUGAGGAAUACAUCGGAAUCUACUUUUUCGUGGGGGAUAACGUAGGGAAACUUACGCUAAUACCGCAUACGACCUACGGGUGAAAGCAGGGGAUCUUCGGACCUUGCGCGAUUGAAUGAGCCGAUGUCGGAUUAGCUAGUUGGCGGGGUAAAGGCCCACCAAGGCGACGAUCCGUAGCUGGUCUGAGAGGAUGAUCAGCCACACUGGAACUGAGACACGGUCCAGACUCCGACGGGAGGCAGCAGUGGGGAAUAGUGGACAAUGGGCGCAAGCCUGAUCCUGCCAUACCGCGGGGGGGAAGAAGGCCUUCGGGUUGUAAAGCCCUUUUGUUGGGAAAGAAAGGCAGCAGGUUAAUACCCCGCUGUUCUGACGGUACCCAAAGAAUAAGCACCGGCUAACUUCGUG
rnacentral:rRNA from 1 species